UAAACGUCCCAGUUCGGAUUGUAGUCUGCAACCCGACUACAUGAAGCUGGAAUCGCUAGUAAUCGCGGAUCAGAAUGCCGCGGUGAAUACGUUCCCGGGUCUUGUACACACCGCCCGUCACACCAUGGGAGUCGGAAAUGCCCGAAGUCGGUGACCUAACUGAAAGGAAGGAGCCGCCGAAGGCAGGUCUGGUGACUGGGGUGAAGUCGUAACAAGGUAUC
rnacentral:rRNA from 1 species